UCGCUAAAGGAUGGACCCGCGGUGCAUUAGCUAGUUGGUAAGGUAACGGCUUACCAAGGCGACGAUGCAUAGCCGAGUUGAGAGACUGAUCGGCCACAUUGGGACUGAGACACGGCCCAAACUCCUACGGGAGGCAGCAGUAGGGAAUCUUCCACAAUGGGCGAAAGCCUGAUGGAGCAACGCCGCGUGAGUGAAGAAGGUUUUCGGAUCGUAAAGCUCUGUUGUUGGUGAAGAAGGAUAGAGGUAGUAACUGGCCCCUAUUUGACGGUAAUCAACCAGAAAGUCACGGCUAACUACGUGCCAGCAGCCGCGGUAAUACGUAGGUGGCAAGCGUUGUCCGGAUUUAUUGGGCGUAAAGCGAGCGCAGGCGGAAAGAUAAGUCUGAUGUGAAAGCCCCCGGCUUAACCGAGGAAUUGCAUCGGAAACUGUGUUUCUUGAGUGCAGAAGAGGAGAGUGGAACUCCAUGUGUAGCGGUGGAAUGCGUAGAUAUAUGGAAGAACACCAGUGGCGAAGGCGGCUCUCUGGUCUGUAACUGACGCUGAGGCUCGAAAGCAUGGGUAGCGAACAGGAUUAGAUACCCUGGUAGUCCAUGCCGUAAACGAUGAGUGCUAAGUGUUGGGAGGUUUCCGCCUCUCA
rnacentral:rRNA from 1 species